rnacentral:rRNA from 1 species
UACAGAGGGUGCGAGCGUUGUUCGGAAUUAUUGGGCGUAAAGGGCGCGUAGGCGGUGCGGUAAGUCACCUGUGAAAUCUCCUGGCUCGACUGGGAGCUUGCAGGCGAAACUGCCGUGCUGGAGUGUGGGAGAGGUGCGUGGAAUUCCUGGUGUAGCGGUGAAAUGCGUAGAUAUCAGGAGGAACACCUGUGGCGAAAGCGGCGCACUGGACCACAACUGACGCUGAGGCGCGAAAGCUAGGGGAGCAAACAGG